rnacentral:rRNA from 1 species
GAUGAACGCUAGCGGCAGGCCUAACACAUGCGAGUCGAGGGGCAGCACAGAAACAGCAAUGUUUUGGUGGCGACCGGCGGACGGGUGCGUAACGCGUAUGCAACCUACCUUUAACAGGGGGAUAACGGAGAGAAAUUUCCACUAAUACCCCAUAACAUCGAUCAAGGCAUCUUGAUUGUUGGAAAACUCCGGUGGUUAAAGAUGGGCAUGCGUUGUAUUAGGUAGUUGGUGAGGUAAUGGCUCACCAAGCCUACGAUACAUAGGGGGACUGAGAGGUUAGCCCCCCACACUGGUACUGAGACACGGACCAGACUCCUACGGGAGGCAGCAGUGAGGAAUAUUGGUCAAUGGGGGCAACCCUGAACCAGCCAUGCCGCGUGCAGGAAGACGGCUCUAUGAGUUGUAAACUGCUUUUAAACAGGGAUAAAGCACAGUAUGUAUACUGUGUUGAAGGUACUGUAAGAAUAAGGAUCGGCUAACUCCGUGCCAGCAGCCGCGGUAA